rfam:Acyrthosiphon pisum strain LSR1 Contig2617, whole genome shotgun sequence.
GUCAGCACAAUCCGGAACCUCCCCAACUUGCUCGACAUGAGGGGUGCUGAUGUCGGGGGAAACCCUCCCGUGAACCAGCGGGAUAGAGUGAAAGACAAAGACCGGGAAAAACUAAAGCGCCCUUUAUGUGGCGCUUUAGUUCU